rnacentral:misc_RNA from 1 species
GGGGCGAGCCAAUACCAAUUUCUCCCAGGUACUGAGCAUCCAAAUAGUUUUUAAGAGGUACUAUAUCUAUAUCUGAAUUAUGAAGCUCGCUGUGUCUACCAACUCCUGAUUUUCCUUCCUGCCUUGCAAGUCUAGCAGCAUUAAUGCUAUCGAGAUCCAGACGACGCUUCUUCAAACUUAUUCUCACUAGGCCAUCAGAGGUAGCAGGAAGAAGUAGGCAUGUCAAAACCCAGAAACAAAAUGCCAACCAGAGUAUUUGGUUCCCCAUAAUUAGGUAAACUCCAGAAAAAC